rnacentral:rRNA from 1 species
GAUGAACGCUAGCGGCAGGCUUAACACAUGCAAGUCGAGGGGUAUAGUUCUUCGGAAUUAGAGACCGGCGCACGGGUGCGUAACGCGUAUGCAAUCUGCCUUUCACAGGAGGGAUAGCCCAGAGAAAUUUGGAUUAAUACCUCAUAGUAUUAUAGAGUGGCAUCACUUUAUAAUUAAAGUCACAACGGUGAAAGAUGAGC